rnacentral:rRNA from 1 species
GUGACCCCAGGUUAGGUAGGAUUACCCGCUGAGUUUAAGAAUAUCAAUAAGCGGAGGAAAAGAAACUUACAAGGAUUCCCUUAGUAAUGGUGAGCGAAUCGAGAAUGGCCCAGCUACAGAAUUGGGCAGCUUCAUCAUCUGAAUUAUAGUUUGGAGAAGCAUCCUCAGUGGUAGACUGGGCCUAAGUUCCCUAGAAGGGGAUGCCAUAGAAGGUGAGAGCCUCAUUCUGUCCGAACCCUGUCACACCAUAAGGCACUAGCUACGAGUUGGGUUAUUUAGGAAUGUAGACUAAAUCAGGCGGUGAAUUCCAUCCAAGGCUAAAUACGAGCAAGAGAGUGAUAGCGAAUAAGUACCGCAAGGGAAAGAUGAUUUGAAAAGAGUGUCAAAGAGUGUUUGAAAUUAUUGGGAUAGAAGCGGAUGAUGGAUAGCGAUGCACCCAAGUCAGAUAUUUAACAUUGGCAAGCCAGUCUGCCGAUCGACUCGAGGCGUGGACCAGCAUGAAUUGGGGGCGGCCAAAGCCCAGGAACUCGAUACGCUCGUGGAAUGCUGUCUCCUUAAUUGUGGUAGAAAAUGUGCACCUCUGACAUGCUUCAGCAUCUACGUGCUCCAACGUUGACCUGUGGGCUCCCCAUUCAACCUGUCUUAAAACAUGGACCAAGAAGUCUGAUAUGUGUGCGAGUUAAUCAGCGAGUAAACCCAUAAGGUGUCAGGAAGCUUACUGGUGGGAUCCCCCUAAGAGGUGCACCACCGAUCAACCAUGAUCUUCUGAGGAGGGUUUAAGUGUGAAUAUAUCUCUUGGGACCAGAAAGAUAGUGAACUAUGCCUAAGCGGGGUAAAGCCAGAGGAAACUCUGGUGGAGCCCCACAGCAAUACAUACGUCCAAAUCAUUCAUCUGACUUAGGUAUAGGGGUGAAAGACUAAUUGAACCAUCUAGUAGUUGGUUCCCUCCUAAUUUUCCCUUAGGAUAGAUAGAGCUCGCGUAAGAGUUCUAUCAGAUAAAGCUAAUGAUUAAAGGUCUCAGGGCGCAACACCAUCGACCUAUUCUCUAUCUUUAAAUAGGUAGGAUGACGUGGAUUUUUUAUUGAUUCGUGCCACAGAAUCAAGAGCCCUAAGUGGGCCAUUUAUGGUAAGAAGAACUGGCAAUGCGGGAUGAACUGGCAGCCACGUUAUGGUUCCAAACAGAGUGCUAACCUAGAUUUUACAAAGGGUGUUGGUCAAAUAAAACAGUAGGACGGUGGUCAUGGAAGUCAAAAUCUAUUAAGAAGUGUGUAACAAGUCACCUACCAAAUCAAAUAGCCCCAAAAAUAGAUGGUGCUUAAGCGUGCGACCUACACCCAUCUAUCGGGAUAAGUGCCAGGCCCCAAUAAGUAGGAGAGCACACCUUUCACUGCAAAACCUUGGGCGCGACCCCGGGAGGACGAUCGUCGGUACAGAUCAUAGUGGUAGUAGAAAAUAUUCAAAUAAGAACUUUGAAGGAUGAAGAGGGGAAAGUUUCACAUGGGUUAGUCGAUCUUAAACUGAGACAUGACGGUCUAUGGAAAUGUUUGGAAAUCCGAAUACAUCGGUGAAAGAAUCAGAAAGAAUUAUCUAUUUUGUUUAACAGCCUGCCCAACCUGGAAUCGGCUCAGCCGGAGGUAGGGUCCAGCCGUUGGAAGAGCACUACACGUCACGUAAUGCCAGAUAUGCUCCUGAAUAUCCUUGAAAAUACGAAGGACCAAAUGCCCUCCAUGCUUGGUCAUACUCAUAACCUCAUCAGGUCUAUAAGGUGAACAACCUCUAGUCGAUGGAAUAAUGUAGGAAAAAUAAGUCGGUAAAAUGGAUCCAUAACUUCGAGAAAAGGAUUGGCUUUGAAGGAUGGGCACAGGGAUCCCAGUCCCGAAUCCAUAGGCUGUCGGUGAACUGCUUAAGCUACUUCUAUGAUGAGAGUAGGUCUUCACUUGCCGGUUGGGGGACGGACAAGGAAUGGUUCCUUCGGGGGUCUUCCCCGCACGUUGAACAGCCAACUUAGAACUGGUACAAAGGAGAUUCUUACUAUUUAAUUAAAACAAAGCAUUACGAUGGUCCCAAUGGAUAUUCACCCAAUGUAAUUUUUGCCCACUGCUUUAAAUGUCAAAGUGAAGAAAUUCAACCAAGCGCGAGUAAACGAUGGGAGUAACUAUGACUCUCUUAAGGUAUCUAAAUGCCUUAUCGUCUAAUUAGUGAUGUGUAUGAAUGGAUUAACGAGAUUUCCACUAUUCUUGUCAAAGAUCCAAAAAAACCAAAUCCAAGGGAACGGGCUUGGUAGAAUCAUUGGGGAAAGUAGACCCUGUGAAGCUUAACUCUAGUCCAACUUUGUGAAAUGACUUGAGAGGUGUAGUAUAAGUGGGAGUAGAAUGGAAAAAGUGAAAUAACACUACUUUUAAUGUUAUUUUAAUUAUUCCGUGAAUCGGACGCGGGGCACUACCUCUCUUUUUGGACCCAAGGCUCUCUCUGUGGGCUAAUCUAGGUGGAAGACAUUGUCAGGUGGGGAGUGAUACACCCAAAUUACAACUCUCAGUAGAAAGUGUAAGUGGUCGCUGUCAAAUAUAGAACCCAACUCGGUUAGGUGUCGAAUGCUACAGGGAAUACUGUGCUCACUAAGUGUCGUAAUUAUUAUUAGACUGUUGAUCAGAGUUUCAUAACCAAAAUGGGGGUUUGGUUUUUUCUUUAAUUUGUAAAAUGAUAAAUUGUAACAAGAUUAGUUCAACUAAUCGUUUUCUCCGUAUUUUGUAACUUUAUAAGAUCAAUCAAACCAGGGUUAUGAUCACCAAAAUGCUAGCAUCAUUUGGGUUGUUAAUUAUUUAUAACUUCCACUUAACAAAUUCAAUUGCAAGAAAGGUUGAAUCCUAUUCUAUAUCGAUUAGUUUCUCAACCUAAAUGGAUAGGUUAUCCUAUAAUUUCCUCAAACUCAUGGGAUGCCUUAUUCUUUCAACCUAAUUCUUAUGUAAGCUAAUCCUAUUAGGGCAUUAGCUAUUACUCUAAAGGUUAAGGCCCUUAGAAUUCAUGUAAACACCUUGUUUUCCCCACAAACAAUUUCCUCUCAGACAAGUGGAGUUCUAGGGCUUACUCCUCAAGUUUGAAACCAAGAAAAGUCAUGAAAUUAAAGAAAGGUUUAUGCCAUGUUAUUCAAUUAUGGAACUCAAAUUG